rnacentral:rRNA from 1 species
CGAUCCUCCCACCCUUUGUAUACCUACCUCUGUUGCUUUGGCGGGCCGCGGUCUUCCGCGGCCGCCCCCCGAUUUUGGGGGCACCGAUCAGCCCGCCAGAGGACUAUCAAACUCCAGUCAGUAAACGUUGCAGUCUGAAAAAAAUAUUAAAUAAACUAAAACUUUCAACAACGGAUCUCUACCAAGACCGUAGCUACUAGAACGCAGCGAAAUGCGAUAAGUAAUGUGAAUUGCAGAAUUCAGUGAAUCAUCGAAUCUUUGAACGCACAUUGCGCCCCUUGGUAUUCCGGGGGGCAUGCCUGUUCGAGCGUCAUUAGUACCCUCAAGCUCUGCUUGGUAUUGGGCACCGUCCUUUGCGGGCGCGCCUCAAAGACCUCGGCGGUGGCGUCUUGCCUCAAGCGUAGUAGAAUAGUGGAGGCUUCGGAGCGUAAGGCGUCGCCCGCCGGACGAACCUUCUGAACUUUUCUCAAGGUUGACCUCGGAUCAGGUAGGGAUACCCG